GGUCCACUUGUCAGCGGCUCGGUGCGGGCGCGCGCGCCUAGGCUGGUCUGGCUCGGGCGGUUCGGGCGGGACGGGGCCGGUUCGGCCCAUUUGGCCGGGCCAGUCCGGUUUUCUCUUCUUUUUUCCUUUUUCUUUUUCUGUUUAUCCUUUGUAACUUUCUAUUUUUGAACUCCAAAUUGAUCCAAAUAAAUUCCAGAAAAAUUCUAAAAUCAUGUUUUAUCAUGAUUCAAUUUUUUGGGACAAAAUUCCCUUCAAAAUAAAAUAGUUAAAAUUAAUUUUGCCUUAUAAAUGCCUUUAGGGCUUUAUAUCCAUUUGAAAUAAAUAGUUUUUCAACUCCAAAUUAAAUCUUAAAAAUUAUGGGAUAGCUCAUUUAUGCAAUAAACCCCAUUUAUAGAUAAACCCUAUUGGUUUAAAGAUCCAAGGCUCAAAUGGGCGAAAUGCUAGGGUUUUAAAAUGAAAUACAACAUUUUCAAAGCCUUUUGAGAUCCAAAUUUGAAUUCAAACAUGCAAAUGUGGCAUGAUGCUCAUGGAUGCAAUGCAUAUGAAAGAGUUUGGAAUUUUGGGGUGUUACAACCUCGGUUCCUUCCGGGACGGCCGGUAGCGAAGGGGCGACCGCGAGCUCCGUCGUAGCGACCAUGCUUGCGGCGACGUCCGGAUUGGUGAGGAUUCCUUCUUCCUCGGGAGCCCCCGAGGCACUUGCUUUCUUCGUUUGU
rnacentral:lncRNA from 1 species